rnacentral:rRNA from 1 species
AACGUAGGAGACAAACGUUAUCCGGAGUUACUGGGCGUAAAGGGCGUGUAGGUGGUUUCGUAAGUCUGGCGUGAAAUUUUUCGGCUUAACCGGGAAAGGUCGUCGGAUACUGCGGAACUAGAGGACGGUAGAGGCGUGUGGAAUUCCGGGUGUAGUGGUGAAAUGCGUAGAUAUCGGUAGGAACACCAGUGGCGAAGGCGGUCUCUUGGGGCAUUCUUGACGCUGAGGCGCGAAAGCUGGGGGAGCGAACGGG